ensembl:snRNA U6 U6 spliceosomal RNA
GUGCUUGCUUCAGCAACAUAUAUACUAAAACUGGGAACAAUACAGAGAAGAUUAGCAUGGCCACUGUGCAAAAUAAUGGUCAUAAAGAUAAUAACCCUACACAC